GGGACAAGGGACAAGGGACAAGGGACAAGGGACAAGGGACAAGGGACACCCGAGGUCCGAGUGGUUUUUUUCAUAGGCAGAAGCGAAAGGACAAAGGACCCCUUUCAUAGGCAGAAGCGAGUUUUAUUUUUUCAAAUUUUUUUAUUUUUUUAUAUUUUUUUUUAAAUUUUUUCAAUGCUUUUUAGCAACUAGGCUUAUGAGGUAACCUUCAGGCCUCUGGGAUGCUCGGGCAUGCAAAUGGUCAAAUGAGCGCUGCGGAAACAGGAGAUAAAAUAAAACAGGGGAAAAUUAAUAAUAAAUCGAGUUUUUAUUCCCUGCCACCAGUUACACAGCUAAAAUAAUCUACGGCUACUAAAUUUAAGAAAAACAAAUUACAAUUCGGUUAACGACAAAAGACAAAAAGAAUAAAACGUUGAGCACGGUCGUUUCCUCCAGGAUGGCGACUUCCUUCAGGACGGGCUCCUCCUGGACCUGGAGGCGGCGACCUUGGAACAAAAUCGCGCUGGGACAGUACGGCGAGCCGGGAGGGGCUAGCUGUGACGAAAAACGACGCGUGUUCAACGGUUUCUCAGUUUCUCCACAUCUCCAACAUUUGAUAGUGGUUGCGGUCUUGGAGGUGGCACCUGUGGACAGCCGCACGGUUGCGUGGAACUCUCAUCCCAGGGGUACCAGAGAGCUCGGUCGCUUCGGUUCCAUUCCAACGCCUUAUCCGUGAGCAUUUCCGGCAGCACGCUGAGCAUCUUGUCCGGCGGAAAAAUGCUCCAGAAGCGCCCUGGGUCGGUCUCUCCAUUGAAAAGGAUAUGGCUUUUGCGUACCAGGUCCAGGUCCAGUCCAUCCCAACGGGUGUCCCGCGGGUGUGCAUAGCACGACUGGACCGACUGGCGACUCAGACGGGGCAGUGUCGGUACCGGUGUUGGGGUGGCACAAGUUGUGUCGGGGAAAGACGGGGCGGUUCCCUGUACGUCCACGUACUUGCCUCGUCGAAUCGGCUUCCGGGGUCUCAGCAGACGCGGGAGGAAUAAGUUCCAACGUGGUGACGGGUCAUCACACUUGAAAUUGGGAACUACACCCGUAGCGCUGGUGGGAACGGUGCUAUCAAGCUAGCUCCCAGGACUCAAUUCAUCAUCACGUAUGGGUACGACUACAGAGAACAAGUGCGGUCUCUAAUAAUCCAUUCACCCGGCUCCUCCACCAAUUUUGUUAUCAACAGAAAUGGAAGUGCUUAAAAUUAAUAUUAAUUAAAAUGUGACUAAAAUAAUUAUGACUAAAGUUAGUAAGACUAGACAAUACUUAUAUAUAUAGUUAAGGCAAUAAAAUAAUAUACAAAUAAAAUGUUCAAGACUAGAAUAACCAAAUAUAUGUAUAAUAUAUGUAUUAAUAUAAUAAUACUUAAUGCAAAUGUAUGUCAGAGAUUCUCUUUAAUAAAUGUAUUAGACACCCA